AGCUUGGCCAUCUCCAUGAGGUA
rnacentral:siRNA from 1 species